GGCGACGAGGUCUUCUGGCGGAAGGUCGCUUCUUGCCCUGAGGGUUAUUGGGACCUUUGCGUUGCUCUUCUUUUUCCUUUCUUUGGCUGUCCCAGUGCUCGUUUUCUGGCCCACAGGCUAGCCCUUAGGAGACUUGAAGGCCAUUUAGAUGUUUUUCUGCAUGAAGAUAAUCCUCACCAUUUAUUUCCCUCCACCUACAGCCCCAAGUUCUGAACAUGUAGAUAUUUUAGCCAUUACAUUUGCAAAUAAAUUGAACUAAUUUCUUGUAAAGGUUAUCUCAGCUAGUAGCAAUCACAAUUUCUGGCUGCAAAUUCUAUUUAUUUAAUCAGUGGGUGAAUAAAUUUUAUUGUUUUAAA